rnacentral:rRNA from 1 species
AAAGCUCCCUUCGGGGAGUGCAUAAAGUGGCGCACGGGUGAGUAACACGUAAGUAAUCUACCCUCGGGUGGGGAAUAACGUCCGGAAACGGACGCUAAUACCGCAUAAUGCAGCGGCACCGCAAGGUGACAGUUGUUAAAGAUUUAUUGCCUGUGGAGGAGCUUGCGGCAGAUUAGCUAGUUGGUAAGGUAACGGCUUACCAAGGCUACGAUCUGUAUCCGGUCUAAGAGGACGGUCGGACACACUGACACUGAAUAACGGGUCAGACUCCUACGGGAGGCAGCAGUCGGGAAUUUUGGGCAAUGGGGGAAACCCUGACCCAGCAACGCCGCGUGAAGGAUGAAGUAUUUCGGUAUGUAAACUUCGAAAGAAUAGGAAGAAUUAAUGACGGUACUAUUUAUAAGGUCCGGCUAACUACGUGCCAGCAGCCGCGGUAAUACGAAGGGACCAAGCGUUGUUCGGAUUUACUGGGCGUAAAGGGCGCGUAGGCGGCGCGGUAAGUCACUUGUGAAAUCUCUGAGCUUAACUCAGAACGGCCAAGUGAUACUGCAGUGCUAGAGUGUGGAAGGGGCAAUCGGAAUUCUUGGUGUAGCGGUGAAAUGCGUAGAUAUCAAGAGGAACACCUGAGGUGAAGACGGGUUGCUGGGCCAACACUGACGCUGAGGCGCGAAAGCCAGGGGAGCAAACGGGAUUAGAUACCCCGGUAGUCCUGGCCCUAAACGAUGAAUACUUGGUGUCUGGAGUUUUAAUGCUCCGGGUGCCGUCGCUAACGUUUUUAGUAUUCCGCCU